rnacentral:ncRNA from 5 species
AUAUACACAAAGGAGUGCUUCGGCUGAGAUCGCAACUGCGAAAUCCUCGAACCUGAUCUAGUUAAAACUAGCGUAGGAAUUGUGUGCUUUAUAGAA